CCAACCAUAGCUCAGUUGGUAGAGCGGAUGACUGUAGUUUGACUAUACUAAAAGGAAUCAUCAUGUCGCUGGUUCGAUUCCGGCUGGUUGGA